GACGAACGCUGGCGGCGUGCUUAACACAUGCAAGUCGAACGGAAAGGCCCUGCUUUUGUGGGGUGCUCGAGUGGCGAACGGGUGAGUAACACGUGAGUAACCUGCCCUUGACUUUGGGAUAACUUCAGGAAACUGGGGCUAAUACCGGAUAGGAGCUCCUGCUGCAUGGUGGGGGUUGGAAAGUUUCGGCGGUUGGGGAUGGACUCGCGGCUUAUCAGCUUGUUGGUGGGGUAGUGGCUUACCAAGGCUUCGACGGGUAGCCGGCCUGAGAGGGUGACCGGCCACGUGGGGACUGAGAGACGGCCCGGACCCCUACGGGGGGGAGGAGUGGGGAAUAUUGCCAAAGGGGGGGAAGCCGGAGGCAGCAACGCCGGGGGGGGGAGGAGGGCCUUCGGGUUUAAAACCGCUUUCGCCUGGGAGGAAGGGGGGGGGACGGAAAUGGGAAAAGAAGCACCGGCUAACUACGU
rnacentral:rRNA from 1 species